rnacentral:ncRNA from 1 species
ACACAACUCUGGAGAUACUCAUUUAAUUGAGAGCCGAAGGUGCAAGGGCACAGCCCUAAUCUCUCAGGCAAAAGGACAGGGUCGG